UUUAUGGAGAGUUUGAUCCUGGCUCAGAGUGAACGCUGGCGGCGUGCCUAAUACAUGCAAGUCGAACGAUGAAGCUUCUAGCUUGCUAGAAGUGGAUUAGUGGCGCACGGGUGAGUAACGCAUAGGUCAUGUGCCUCUUAGUUUGGGAUAGCCAUUGGAAACGAUGAUUAAUACCAGAUACUCCCUACGGGGGAAAGAUUUAUCGCUAAGAGAUCAGCCUAUGUCCUAUCAGCUUGUUGGUAAGGUAAUGGCUUACCAAGGCUAUGACGGGUAUCCGGCCUGAGAGGGUGAACGGACACACUGGAACUGAGACACGGUCUAGACUCCUACGGGAGGCAGCAGUAGGGAAUAUUGCUCAAUGGGGGAAACCCUGAAGCAGCAACGCCGCGUGGAGGAUGAAGGUUUUAGGAUUGUAAACUCCUUUUGUUAGAGAAGAUAAUGACGGUAUCUAACGAAUAAGCACCGGCUAACUCCGUGCCAGCAGCCGCGGUAAUACGGAGGGUGCAAGCGUUACUCGGAAUCACUGGGCGUAAAGAGCGCGUAGGCGGGAUAGUCAGUCAGGUGUGAAAUCCUAUGGCUUAACCAUAGAACUGCAUUUGAAACUACUAUUCUAGAGUGUGGGAGAGGUAGGUGGAAUUCUUGGUGUAGGGGUAAAAUCCGUAGAGAUCAAGAGGAAUACUCAUUGCGAAGGCGACCUGCUGGAACAUUACUGACGCUGAUUGCGCGAAAGCGUGGGGAGCAAACAGGAUUAGAUACCCUGGUAGUCCACGCCCUAAACGAUGGAUGCUAGUUGUUGGAGGGCUUAGUCUCUCCAGUAAUGCAGCUAACGCAUUAAGCAUCCCGCCUGGGGAGUACGGUCGCAAGAUUAAAACUCAAAGGAAUAGACGGGGACCCGCACAAGCGGUGGAGCAUGUGGUUUAAUUCGAAGAUACACGAAGAACCUUACCUAGGCUUGACAUUGAGAGAAUCCGCUAGAAAUAGUGGAGUGUCUGGCUUGCCAGACCUUGAAAACAGGUGCUGCACGGCUGUCGUCAGCUCGUGUCGUGAGAUGUUGGGUUAAGUCCCGCAACGAGCGCAACCCCCUUUCUUAGUUGCUAACAGGUCAUGCUGAGAACUCUAAGGAUACUGCCUCCGUAAGGAGGAGGAAGGUGGGGACGACGUCAAGUCAUCAUGGCCCUUACGCCUAGGGCUACACACGUGCUACAAUGGGGUGCACAAAGAGAAGCAAUACUGCGAAGUGGAGCCAAUCUUCAAAACACCUCUCAGUUCGGAUUGUAGGCUGCAACUCGCCUGCAUGAAGCUGGAAUCGCUAGUAAUCGCAAAUCAGCCAUGUUGCGGUGAAUACGUUCCCGGGUCUUGUACUCACCGCCCGUCACACCAUGGGAGUUGUGUUUGCCUUAAGUCAGGAUGCUAAAUUGGCUACUGCCCACGGCACACACAGCGACUGGGGUGAAGUCGUAACAAGGUAACCGUAGGUGAACCUGCGGUUGGAUCACCUCCUUUCUAGA
rnacentral:rRNA from 1 species